rnacentral:rRNA from 1 species
UGGGGAAUUUUGGACAAUGGGGCAACCCUGAUCCAGCCAUCCCGCGUGUGCGAUGAAGGCCUUCGGGUUGUAAAGCACUUUUGUCCGGAAAGAAAACGUCGUGGUUAAUACCCGUGGCGGCUGACGGUACCGGAAGAAUAAGCACCGGCUAACUACGUGCCAGCAGCCGCGGUAAUACGUAGGGUGCAAGCGUUAAUCGGAAUUACUGGGCGUAAAGCGUGCGCAGGCGGUCCGCUAAGACAGAUGUGAAAUCCCCGGGCUUAACCUGGGAACUGCAUUUGUGACUGGCGGGCUAGAGUAUGGCAGAGGGGGGUAGAAUUCCACGUGUAGCAGUGAAAUGCGUAGAGAUGUGGAGGAAUACCGAUGGCGAAGGCAGCCCCUGGGCCAAUACUGACGCUCAUGCACGAAAGCGUGGGGAGCAAAACAGGAUUAGAUACCCUGGUAGUCCACGCCCUAAACGAUGUCAACUAGUUGUCGGG